rnacentral:lncRNA from 1 species
GCCGAAGAAGGCACUGCUGCUGCUGGUGUCAUGGAUGUUAAUACUGCUUUACAUGAGGAUGGCCUAGCACGUGGAAUUCACAAAGCUGGCAACUUUAGACAAGCACCGAGCCCAUCUUUGUGUGUUUGCACCCAACUACGAUGAGCCUGUGUAUAUCAAGUUGGUGCAGGCCCUUUGCGCUGAAUACCAAAUCAACCUAAUUAAGGCUGAUGACGACAGGAGACUAGGGGAAUAGGUAGGCUUCUGUAAAACUGACAAAGGAAAAACUCUGUAAAGUGGCUGGUUGCAAUUGUGCAGUUGUGCUGUAGGACUAUGGCAAAGAAUCUCAGGUCAAGGAUGUCACUGAAGAGUACUUCAAA